AGCACCAUAUAGUUACACUCCAUAGCCUCUAGAUCAGUGGUUUUCCACCUUCCUAAUUCUGUGACCCUUCAAUGCAGUUCCUUUUGUUCUGGUGACCCCUGAGAUAAGAAUGUUUGAUCAGAAUUGCUUUGGAAAUUAUACCAAUGGUCUCCUUGUCACCUGAGGAGAAUCAUUCCUGUCUGUAUUGAGUAAAGAUCUGUGCAAGCUCGGCACAUGGUGUGGAAGAGGAAGAAGAGGAUGAACAUGUGAACUGCAGGAAGAGAGCUGGGUCAUCUCCUGCAGAUGGGUGAGUUUGUCAUUUUUGGAAGAAGUGUAUCAUCACUGGUGAUGGACUUUGGAGUUUCCUGUGCCCUGGAUACUGCCAAGCAUAUCAGUCAACUUCCUGUGGCAUGCAUAUCAAGAUGUAGCCAGCACCACAUUAUCCUUUACAUCUUACUCUCCCCUAUGAUGACAAUGGACUGAAUCUC